CUUAAGUGGGGAAUAACGCAUCGAAAGAUGUGCUAAUACCGCAUAUACUCUGAGGAGGAAAGCAGGGGACCGUAAGGCCUUGCGCUUUUGGAGCGGCCGAUGUCUGAUUAGCUAGUUGGUAGGGUAAGGGCCUACCAAGGCGACGAUCAGUAGUUGGUCUGAGAGGACGACCAGCCACACUGGGACUGAGACACGGCCCAGACUCCUACGGGAGGCAGCAGUGGGGAAUUUUGGACAAUGGGCGCAAGCCUGAUCCAGCAAUGCCGCGUGAGUGAAGAAGGCCUUCGGGUUGUAAAGCUCUUUCAGUCGAGAAGAAAAGGCUACGGUAAAUAAUCGUAGUUCAUGACGGUACCGACAGAAGAAGCACCGGCUAACUACGUGCCAGCAGCCGCGGUAAUACGUAGGGUGCGAGCGUUAAUCGGAAUUACUGGGCGUAAAGGGUGCGCAGGCGGCUUUGUAAGUCAGAUGUGAAAUCCCCGGGCUUAACCUGGGAAUUGCGUUUGAAACUACAAAGCUAG
rnacentral:rRNA from 1 species